rnacentral:rRNA from 1 species
AUUGAACGCUGGCGGCAUGCCUUACACAUGCAAGUCGAACGGCAGCACGGACUUCGGUCUGGUGGCGAGUGGCGGACGGGUGAGUAAUAUAUCGGAACAUACCUUGUAGUGGGGGACAACUAUCCGAAAGGAUAGCUAAUACCGCAUACGCUCUAAGGAGGAAAGUGGGGGAUCGCAAGACCUCAUGCUAUAAGAGUGGCCGAUAUCUGAUUAGCUAGUUGGUGAGGUAAAGGCUCACCAAGGCAACGAUCAGUAGCUGGUCUGAGAGGACGACCAGCCACACUGGAACUGAGACACGGUCCAGACUCCUACGGGAGGCAGCAGUGGGGAAUUUUGGACAAUGGGGGCAACCCUGAUCCAGCAAUGCUGCGUGAGUGAAGAAGGCCUUCGGGUUGUAAAGCUCUUUUGUCAGGGAAGAAACGGUUGUGGCUAAUAUCCAUGGCUAAUGACGGUACCUGAAGAAUAAGCACCGGCUAACUACGUGCCAGCCGCCGCAGUAACAC